UCCUGGAGUAUGGCCUACCUGAGAACCCUGAAAUGGUUGUGGCAUUGAUGCAAAAGGCAACAAUAAAUGUUAGUGGACACUUGCUUAAUGCCAUAACCAUUGAGCAUUUCAUUUUGAGGUUGCCUUAUCACUCAAAAUUUACUUUUGCUAAGGGUGUAAAGAAUGACGAGAUGACUGCACGCAGCAUUUUUGGCUUGGAGCUUUCCGAACCAUUGGUGACAUUUGCUCUCUCUUGUGGAAGUUUUUCCUCUCCUGCUGUGAGAGUAUACACAGCAGCAAAUAUUGAAAAUGAGCUUCAAGUAGCAAAGAAGGAGUAUUUGCAGGCAUCUGUUGGCGUUUCAACAUCAAAGAAGUUGGUAGCAAUACCAAAGCUGUUGGACUGGUAUCUGCUAGAUUUUGCAAAGGAUCUAGAGUCACUACUUGAUUGGAUAUGUCUUCAACUUCCAAAUGAACACGGAAAAGAAGCAAUCAACUGUCUCGAGAGAAAGAACAACGAGCCUCUCUCCAACGUUCUUCAGAUAGUGCCUUAUGAAUUUAGUUUCCGGUACCUUUUACACAUGUAAGUUUUGUUUCUCAAUAACCAAACUAGACUUAAAAAAGUUUUUUGGUGGUAUAGAGGGGG
rnacentral:misc_RNA from 1 species